UACGUAGGGGGCUAGCGUUGUCCGGAUUUAUUGGGCGUAAAGAGCGUGUAGGCGCCAGAUAGGUCCGUUGUGAAAACUCGAGGCUCAACCUCGAGACGUCGGCGGAAACCAUCUGGCUAGAGUCCGGAAGAGGAGAGUGGAAUUCCUGGUGUAGCGGUGAAAUGCGUAGAUAUCUGCAGGAACACCCGUGGCGAAAGCGGCGCGCUGGACCACUACUGACGCUGAGGAACGAAAGCGUGGGGAGCAAACAGG
rnacentral:rRNA from 1 species